rnacentral:sRNA from 1 species
CGUCGUCAAUUGAGCUAGUUUUUGCCUCCCAGUAGAGCUUCUUACUCUAUUUAUGUGACACACUUAUUCGUCGAGCUAAAGAUUAUGGCAAACGUGUUUUUACUUCACUUCAUUUUCAUAUGUUUGUUUUUUCUUUUCGCCUUCUUAUUCUUCUUCUUCUUUUUCAGCGAUAACAAUAGUCACAAUUCAUCAGGAACUCUCACAAAUCGAUGCGUUUCUAAUUUCCUACACUUGAGAGAUGGGCCUCGGCUACGAGUUCUUAUCGCGCACCGAUCCAAUCGCCGACUGAGCCGCGAUCCGUUCCACGAUUUUUGUCGCGACGCUUGGCUCACAGUCAGCUCUGAUCUUUCUCAUUUGUUUGUAUAUAUGUUGAGUGUUUUCGGGCUGGGGCUGACUUGAAAUAGUGCAGACAUUAACACAAAGCUGGAGCGUCGAAAAGACUGUCCGCUGCUCGAGAGCUGAAUGUCUAGAAUGACUGUGGAGUGCUUGAAUUUGAGACUCGGAGUGCCACUCAGAGAGUGAGACAUUGAGUGAGUCUCGCUGAAUGAGAGAGUGUACAGUCAAGCGAAGCGAGGCAGGUACUGAAUCAGUCAGUGAAGUGCUCUUACACAAAUUGAGUCAGCACUACCUUAGAUAUAAAUAUAUAUA